rnacentral:rRNA from 1 species
CAGUCGCCGCGGGAAUACGGAGGGUGCAAGCGUUAAUCGGAAUUACUGGGCGUAAAGCGCACGCAGGCGGUCUGUCAAGUUAGAUGUGAAAUCCCCGGGCUUAACCUGGGAACUGCAUUUGAAACUGGCAGGCUAGAGUCUUGUAGAGGGGGGUAGAAUUCCAGGUGUGGCGGUGAAAUGCGUAGAGAUCUGGAGGAAUACCGGUGGCGAAGGCGGCCCCCUGGACAAAGACUGACGCUCAGGUGCGAAAGCGUGGGGAGCAAACAGGAUUAGAGACCCCGGUAGUCCCUGUCUCUUAUAC